UACGUAGGGGGCAAGCGUUGUCCGGAAUCAUUGGGCGUAAAGCGCGCGUAGGCGGCCCGAUAAGUCCGCUGUAAAAGUCCAGGGCUCAACCCUGGAAAGCCGGUGGAUACUGUCGGGCUAGAGUCCGGAAGAGGCGAGUGGAAUUCCUGGUGUAGCGGUGGAAUGCGCAGAUAUCAGGAGGAACACCUGCGGUGUAGACGGCUUACUGGACCAUAACUGACGCUGAGGCACGAAAGCGUGGGUAGCAAACAGG
rnacentral:rRNA from 1 species